CUCCUUAUCAGAAAACAUAUAUAAACAAUAUUGAGAGAGUUCAACAAAAAUUUCUUCAUAUUGUUGCUGGAUAUAGUGGUAGUCCCAUGCCUCUUGAGUCUCAUAAUUAUGAUAACUUAUCAAUACUAAUCUCCAAACACUGCACAGUAGAAGAAGAAUUGCAGAUAUCAUGUUUAGUGAAUCGAUUAGAACUACAGAAACCGAGGUUCUCUAUAAAAAUUAGUGUACAAGUUGUUAACACCGUGACUGUCCAGUGACCUACAUGAGGAUCACAGACGGGCCUCGACUCGGAAGACGCUGAACCGCAGAACAAACAUCAGGUGUACCCGGUUCUGCGGCACGUAUGAUGAAUAGACGCUGUGUGGCGCGAGCCAAUGGGGCAAUAGACGGUGAAUCGACGCUUGUGGCAUUUCGUGGACAUAACAUGUGUACUUUAUUGCUAUACUCACUUCUUCGCCUUGUACAAACCAGCCCCAACGAUACCAGCGCCAAGAAGAGCUUUGGCUCCGAGGGCAGCCCCGCCGAGCAAAAGAGCCUUCUUGCCAAG